GACGAACGCUGGCGGCGUGCUUAACACAUGCAAGUCGAACGGUAAGGCCCUUCGGGGUACACGAGUGGCGAACGGGUGAGUAACACGUGGGUGAUCUGCCCUGCACUUCGGGAUAAGCCUGGGAAACUGGGUCUAAUACCGGAUAGGACCACUGCCUGCAUGGGUGGUGGUGGAAAGCUUUUGCGGUGUGGGAUGGGCCCGCGGCCUAUCAGCUUGUUGGUGGGGUAGUGGCCCACCAAGGCGACGACGGGUAGCCGGCCUGAGAGGGCGACCGGCCACACUGGGACUGAGACACGGCCCAGACUCCUACGGGAGGCAGCAGUGGGGAAUAUUGCGCAAUGGGCGAAAGCCUGACGCAGCGACGCCGCGUGAGGGAUGACGGCCUUCGGGUUGUAAACCUCUUUCAGCAGGGAAGAAGCGAAAGUGACGGUACCUGCAGAAGAAGCACCGGCUAACUACGUGCCAGCCGCCGCAGUAA
rnacentral:rRNA from 1 species